AAAAAGACUAAAUUUUUGGUUUCCGUGUCCAACGUUUGAUCAUCCAUCUUAUAUAAAAUUUUUUUAUGAUUAGUAUUUUUAUUAUUGUUAGAUGAUAAAACAUAAAUAAUAAUUUAUGUAUAACUUAUUUUUUUAAAUUUUUUUAUAAUUUUUUUAAAUAAGAUGAACAGUUAAAUAUUGGAGACAAAAAUUUCGG
rnacentral:pre_miRNA from 1 species